rnacentral:lncRNA from 1 species
UCUACUUCACUGGUUACUGUAAGAGUUAAAACAUAAAAAAUAAAAGAAAUAGUAAUCUCACAUUAUAAAAAAAGAGUUAAAUAAGUUAAAUUAUGUAAUAUGCUUAGACGACAACCUGGCACAAAUGAAAGUCCCAAUAAACAUUAGUUAAGAUUACCUAGGGGGCCAUUUUCACUAACAUGUGAUAUGUAAAGGUUGGAUGGAGUGAAAGAUAAAGUCAUUGACUUGUUCAUUCAACUGUAUACUCUUGGAUGUAUUGUUGUGUUUCUAGGGCUUAGAAUAGUGCCUUGCACACAGUAGGUGCUCAUGGUGUAUUUGUUUACUAAAUGACUGAGAUUCUGCAUUUUUUCACAUAGCUACUGUGUAAGAACAUGUUCAUAGACAUUUAUCAUGCAGAAAUGCUACUUCACAAAAUUUGAAAUAUCUAGACUAUUAAGAGGCAUACAUUAAGAAAUCAACCACUUUUAGAGAACUAACUCUUUUAGUUAUGGUUCAGUCUGAAAAAUCAAUGAGCUCAAUCUAGUUUGUUUGACAGAUGCAACUGAAUAUUGGACAUGGUUACAGCAGGGGCAGUAAGCCAGCAGGUGACGUGAGGCAGCCCAGAGAUGAACCACUGGCACUCCAAGUGUAGGACUAAAGACCUGUGUAAGGAACUUCAAAGAUUUACAAGGCCUGUGGUCAUCUGUGUUGCAUGAGAAGAUAAGAAGCUUCCCCAGAGCACACAGCUCAAAGUCAGGAAGAAUAUGGAGGCAAGUUUGGCCCAGAACUGAAGGCCCCGUCCAAGGACAGCACAUCUGUUUCCUGGCCAAGCCUACAAAGAGACACUGUAGGAAGGGAAUAUGACAGUGGUUGUUCUACUUUCCUUGUUUCUGGUUGCAUGGAGGAUUAAGAGAGAUAAUGUGUGUAGAGUUCUUGGAUGAGAAGUUGGUUGAAUUAGUUGCCUAUGGUUACAGUAGCCAAGCAACACAAACUUAGCAGUCCAAACAACACAACUGUAGCAUCUUCCCGUUUUUGAGGUCAGAAGUCAGAAAUUGGUCUAUCAUCAAGUUGCUGACAGAGCCACAUUCUUUCUGGAGGAUCUGGAGAGAUUCCAUUUCCUUGCCUUUUGAAAGAAAGUCUCUGAUAGAAACAGAGAUAUCUAAUGUGCAUACUGGGGACAGCAAAAGUUCUGAUACUUAGCAGAACUGGCCAUGGUGCUAGUGGGCUUGGAGCUAGUGGAAGGUAGCUUGAUGGGAACCCGGAGGCUAUGGCCAAAUAUGGAGUCUUCAAGUAGGCUUUCACUGGCACAGUGCUUAAAGCAGGAGAGGAAGAGAGUGGCAGUUGUUGUGGGAAAAUGCCAAAACUGAUUGCUGAGUGUGUUUUACUUCACUGGACAUACCAGAAGUAAACUGGCAACCAUUUCAGGGAGCUGGAUCUUCUGCAAUAACAGACAGGUGGCAGAG